GACGAACGCUGGCGGCGUGCUUAACACAUGCAAGUCGAACGGAAAGGCCCUGCUUUUGUGGGGUGCUCGAGUGGCGAACGGGUGAGUAACACGUGAGUAACCUGCCCUUGACUUUGGGAUAACUUCAGGAAACUGGGGCUAAUACCGGAUAGGAGCUCCCGCUGCAUGGUGGGGGUUGGAAAGUUUCGGCGGGUGGGGAUGGACUCGCGGCUUAUCAGCUUGUUGGUGGGGUAGUGGCUUACCAAGGCUUGGACGGGUAGCCGGCCUGAGAGGGUGACCGGCCACAUUGGGCCUGAGAUACGGCCCAGACUCCUACGGGAGGCAACAGUGGGGAAUAUUGCACAAUGGGCGGAAGCCUGAUGCAGAAACGCCGCGUGCGGGAUGACGGCCUUCGGGUUGUAAACCGCUUUCGCCUGUGACGAAGCGUGAGUGACGGUAAUGGGUAAAGAAGCACCGGCUAACUACGUG
rnacentral:rRNA from 1 species